rnacentral:rRNA from 1 species
CCUACGGGAGGCAGCAGUGGGGGAUAUUGCACAAUGGGGGGAACCCUGAUGCAGCGACGCCGCGUGGGUGAAGAAGCGCCUCGGCGCGUAAAGCCCUGUCAGCAGGGAAGAAAAUGACGGUACCUGAAGAAGAAGCCCCGGCUCACUACGUGCCAGCAGCCGCGGUAAUAAGUAGGGGGCAAGCUUUAUCCGGAUUUACUGGGUGUAACGGGGGCCCAGGCGGCGAUGCAAGGCAAGAGUGAAAGCCCGGGGCCCAACCCCGGGACUGCUGGUGGAACUGGGGGGCUGGAGUGCAGGAGGGGCAGGCGGAAUGCCUGGUGUAGCGGUGAAAUGCGUAGAUAUCAGGAGGAACACCGGUGGCGAAGGCGGCCUGCUGGAGUGCAACUGACGUUGAGGCCCGAAAGCGUGGGGAGCAAACAGGAUUAGAUACCCCAGUAGUC